rnacentral:rRNA from 1 species
UACGAAGGGGGCUAGCGUUGUUCGGAAUUACUGGGCGUAAAGCGUGCGCAGGCGGCUUCUCAAGUCAGGGGUGAAAGCCCAGAGCUCAACUCUGGAAUUGCCUUUGAGACUGAGUGGCUUGAGUACGAGAGAGGUGAGUGGAAUUCCCAGUGUAGAGGUGAAAUUCGUAGAUAUUCGGAAGAACACCAGUGGCGAAGGCGGCUCACUGGCCCGGUACUGACGCUGAGAUACGAAAGCGUGGGGAGCAAACAGG